rnacentral:rRNA from 1 species
GUGAGGAAUAUUGGUCAAUGGACGAGAGUCUGAACCAGCCAAGUCGCGUGAAGGAAGACGGUUCUAUGAAUUGUAAACUUCUUUUGUGCAGGAAUAAAGUGGGUUACGUGUAACCUUUUGUAUGUACUGUACGAAUAAGGAUCGGCUAACUCCGUGCCAGCAGCCGCGGUAAUACGGAGGAUCCGAGCGUUAUCCGGAUUUAUUGGGUUUAAAGGGUGCGUAGGUGGAUUGAUAAGUCAGCGGUGAAAGUUUGCAGCUUAACUGUAAAAUUGCCGUUGAAACUGUCGGUCUUGAGUGCAAAUGAGGUAGGCGGAAUGUGUUGUGUAGCGGUGAAAUGCUUAGAUAUAACACAGAACUCCGAUUGCGAAGGCAGCUUACUGGGAUGCAACUGACACUGAUGCACGAAAGCGUGGGUAUCAAACAGGAUUAGAAACCCUUGUGUCC